GUGAGCAUAGUUUAAACAAAACACAAGGUUGUGAUCCUUAAAAUAAAGGUUAAAACCCUUUUACUCACA
rnacentral:tRNA from 1 species